rnacentral:rRNA from 1 species
UACAGAGGUCUCAAGCGUUGUUCGGAUUCAUUGGGCGUAAAGGGUGCGUAGGUGGUGCUGUAAGUCAGGUGUGAAAUCUCGGAGCUUAACUCCGAAACUGCAUUCGAUACUGCCGUGCUUGAGGACUGGAGAGGAGACUGGAAUUUACGGUGUAGCGGUGAAAUGCGUAGAUAUCGUAAGGAAGACCAGUGGCGAAGGCGGGUCUCUGGACAGUUCCUGACGCUGAGGCACGAAGGUCAGGGGAGCAAACGGG